UGCACAGCCAGGCACAUCAGUUGCAGUGGGGCGGGCAGCUCCAGACGCUGGCACAGACACCGGCUCCUGACGAGGUGGUGGCUGGACCAGGCAUACCACAGGCGGCUUCCACUGCAGGCACUGGGGAACAGGAUGGUGGUCAGAAGCUUGGAUACACCAGGAACCGCAGAUCCCCAAAGAGAGUGUCACAGCCCUCCCUCAAGAAGCUCCUAUCACCAUCAAUGGCGGCCUGGCUGUUUGCACCAAGGGAUAACAUAAAUGGAUUUCUUAUAAGACCCUUUACGUUUGAUGAUACCUUGUUUUCUGAGAUUGCAGUAAUCAAGGAGAGGAAUGAAAAACAAAGUCAUUGAGAAAAAAGUGCAUCAAUCUCCUUUUUAGUCAACGAUGAAUGUGACAGGGAGACUAUGAACAGCCAGUAGCCAAAGUUGUAUCAGCAUCUAUGCAGCAGCAGCAGCAUCUUCUGGACAAAAAGAAAAUAUGUAAACUAACAGCAAUGAGACUGUAAUUAGUGGAAAAUAGGCACUUGCCAAUAAAACUCAAUUUUUUUUCAAAUUGUUGUUAGAAAUGUAAAUAAAUAAAACAGAAAAUAGAAAUUAAAUGAGCUAUGGUAGGCGUUUAUAUAUCUCUAAGUUAAUCUUUCGCUUAAAUUUUGGACUCUGAAUAUGAUAUAACAUUUCUAAUUUCUUAAAGAAGUAAAUUAUUUCAAAUAAUUGUGAAAUAUAAUUAGAUUAUUCUAUUACAAAUAAUUAUGUGUACAUUUUGCUUAAUAUUUACCUUGUGACAACUACAUCAUCUUUUUCAGCUGGUAUUUUAUCCUGCCAACUUGUACUAAAUUUUGUAAAUUAACACUGUAAUAGAUUAUAUGCAAUUAACAAUGUCAUGAACACAUGGUUAUUUUAUAUAUAAUGAGUUGGCUUAUUUGUUAAUAGGUUUUCUCAAUAAUGUAAUAAGCAAGUCAAGAGAUAUUUAAAAAUCUCAAUUUUUGACUUUAGAGACUUGAAAUAAAACUGUUAUUUUUGUCUUUUAAAGAUAUUGGUAGAACCCUCUGCAAAGACAGUUAGGUAGGAGGAGAAGAAAAAGUAACAAUUAUAUUUGAAUAAGUUUCUUUUGUUUUUCCAGGCGGAAAUGUUAUAGGAAUAUACUUCAGCAUUUUUAUAAAGAAGGUACUUAGCUUAGGCAUACAGAGCACACAGUGGCACAUAAUAAUUGCACCACUGCUUUACCAGUACCAGAAUCAGGCAUUCACUGGAACAAUUUUAUGAUUUUGUAACAACAGAAGCAGUUUUCUCAAGUUCUGCUUUUUUUGGCCAAAUAUGCUUUCUUUUCAUUAAUCCAAAAUCUACCUGUGUGAAGAAUCUUAAUUUUUUUCUAGCUUAGGGAGAAAUAACACAUGGCAACAUUAACGAACAAUGUGGACUUUACUAUAUGAUUUUGUAAGACUUGAAUUUAGCAAGACAGGUAUGCCCCAGAAAAACUUUAAAAUUGUAGUAAGCACUAAUAUCUUCAUUGUCUUCUGCCUGGAGCAGUGUGACAAACUGCCUGCUCACUCUGCAAAAACUUUACAUUUUCAUCUCCCUUGUUUUUCAGCGUUGCUUCUUUGUUUAUGAGCAAGCAACCAGGUUCUAGAUGUUGAGAUCCUCAAAAUAUUUUCUCAAUGAAGACCAGCCUCUAAUUGAGAACAUUUUUGUAUUAGCUGCUUAGAGAAUGAAGUAGUCUUCACAUAAUUACGUACAGUAAAUCUAGCCUUUCCAAACACACACAUAUACAUGUACACAUUCACAAACUUUUUCUCUUUUCUGCUC
rnacentral:lncRNA from 1 species